UUGUGGAAGCUGCCAUCUGUUAUACAGGAGAUGUUGCAAGUACAACAAGUGAUAAAUACAAUCUUGACUAUUAUUUGGAAAUGGCAGACAAAAUAGUGGAGACUGGAUGCCACAUUUUAGCCAUCAAAGUAGCUAUGAUGGAUUAAUUUAAGGACAUGGCCGGAUUGUUGAAACCUAAAUCUGGGACAAUUUUAGUAGAUGCUAUCAAACAAAGAUAUCCUCACAUUCCUUUACAUAUCCACACACAUGAUACCGCUGGAACUGGAAUUGCCUCAAUGCUUCAGGUUGCUACAGCAGGAGCUGAUAUUAUUGACGUGGCUGUGGAUGCUGUUAGCGGAAUCACAUCUCAACCCAGCAUGGGAGCAUUUGUGGCUGUACUCAAAGAUACUCCUAGAAAAUGUGUUGGAAUGAAUUCACAAGAUAUUUCUACAUAUUCUGCCUAUUGGGAGCAAGCUCGGCAGCUCUAUGGCCCCUUUGAGUCUUCAGUCACGAUGAAGAGUGGAAAUGCUGACGUCUAUCUCAACGAAAUUCCUGGUUUAUAAAAUUAAUGAUUUUUUUGGUGGUCAAUACACAAAUCUCCAGUUCCAGGCUCAUUCUCUAGGAAUGGGAUCACAGUUUGAGGCCAUAAAGCAAGCAUAUCGUGAGGCUAAUUUACUUUUAGGUGACAUUGU